AGCGGCAGACGGGUGAGUAACGCGUGGGAAUCUACCGAGCCCUAAGGAAUAACUCCGGGAAACUGGAACUAAUACCUUAUACGCCCUACGGGGGAAAGAUUUAUCGGGGUUUGAUGAGCCCGCGUUGGAUUAGCUAGUUGGUGGGGUAAAGGCCUACCAAGGCGACGAUCCAUAGCUGGUCUGAGAGGAUGAUCAGCCACAUUGGGACUGAGACACGGCCCAAACUCCUACGGGAGGCAGCAGUGGGGAAUAUUGGACAAUGGGCGCAAGCCUGAUCCAGCCAUGCCGCGUGAGUGAAGAAGGUCUUAGGAUUGUAAAGCUCUUUCACCGAUGAAGAUAAUGACUGUAGUCGGAGAAGAAGCCCCGGCUAACUUCGUGCCAGCAGCCGCGGUAAUACGAAGGGGGCUAGCGUUGUUCGGAAUUACUGGGCGUAAAGCGCACGUAGGCGGAUAUUUAAGUCAGGGGUGAAAUCCCGCAGCUCAACUGCGGAACUGCCUUUGAUACUGGGUAUCUUGAGUAUGGAAGAGGUAAGUGGAAUUGCGAGUGUAGAGGUGAAAUUCGUAGAUAUUCGCAGGAACACCAGUGGCGAAGGCGGCUUACUGGUCCAUUACUGACGCUG
rnacentral:rRNA from 1 species